rfam:Populus trichocarpa isolate Nisqually-1 chromosome 19, whole genome shotgun sequence.
UCAUAUGUAUAGGGAAAAUCCUCAUUUAACUAUGGAGACCCACACCUAACUGCUCAAAUGAAUCGUUAUCGUAGGUCCGACAACAUCAUUUAGUUCUCAAGAGAGAGUUUUCAGUGGGAUCCAUGUAAAAUUAUAGG